UAAUACUUGGGCAAUCUGCCCUUGAGAGGGAAACAACCUGCCGAAAGGCGGGCUAAUGUCCCAUAAGACCACAGGAAUGCAUAUUCCAGGGGUCAAAGCUCCGCAAGGGGCGCUUAAGGAGGAGCCCGAGUCCUAUCAUGGUUGUUGGUGCGGUAACGGCUCACCAAGCCUUCGACGGGUAGCCGGCCUGAAAGGGUGACCGGCCACACUGGCACUGAGACACGGGCCAG
rnacentral:rRNA from 1 species